AAGAAAUAUUAGAAUAAUUAAAAAUAUAUCUUAAGUAAGUCUCAACCAAGUCCUAGAUGAAUCCUAGUUAAAAUCCUAAUAGACUUUAAUCAAAGCUUAGGCCAAAUUUCAAACCUUAAAUAAAUCUUAAAUCCUAAAUCUUAAGUAAAUCCUAAAUUAUAAAUCCUAAAUCCUAAUCCAAUCCUAAAUCCUAGUCCAAUCCUAAAUCCUAAUCAAAUCCUAAUCAAAUUCUAAAUCCUAAUUCAAUCCUAACUCUAAACCAAAUCCUAAC
rnacentral:lncRNA from 1 species